rnacentral:rRNA from 1 species
AUGUAUUCUCAUGAAAAGGAUGGAGGUAACCCAAGACCAAAUGCAAUGAUGCAAGAAUUUCGGGAUUGUUUGGGAGAUUGUGGGUUAUAUGAUCUGGGAUAUGUCGGCGACUAUUUCACUUGGAGGAGAGGGGAGAUUAGGUUGAGACUUGAUAGGGCUGUAUGCAAUGUCGAAUGGUAAAAUAAGUUUCCAAAGGCAGGCAUCAUCAAUGAGGAGCAUGUGCAUUCUGAUCAUCGUCCCUUAAUCCUUGACACAGAAUAUUAUGGUGAGAAUAUUCUCAAUAGCCCAAAAAUCCGUGUGAAGCAAUUUGAGGCUAGAUGGCUUAAAGAAGAGACGGUGGGAGAAAUUGAGCGAACAACAUGGAAAAGGCCAAACUAG